rnacentral:lncRNA from 1 species
AGGAUUCUUGGAUAAUAAGAGAUAAUACUUUUCAUAGUGUCUACUGUGUGACAGGCACUUUCCAAAUAUUAUCUUACUCAAUCUUCACAAUAACCAUUUUUGUUUUACAAAGCCUUAUUUACAUCUUAGAAUCAAUAUUUUGUAUUGGUUGCAAGGUAGAUGAGCAGUAAGGAUUAGGCAAUUGGGGUUAAGUGACUUGCCUAGGGUCACACAAAGUGUCUGGGCAAGCCUACAGACCAAUGAGGUAAUGAGGAAUCAGAUUCUGCCUCCUUCCUUCCUCUGUCUCCCUCCCACUUUCAGAUAAUCUCUUCAGUUGGUGUCAAGCUGGAAUUCAGUACUGAGAAUACAGUCACACCCUAUGCAGACCUCAGAGCCUUAGAAACAGAUAGAAGUCAAAGGCCAGAACAUGGAGGCAAAAGGUUGGUUAUCUGAGGGAAAGACUCAAAUGACUAUGGCUCCAAAUGUAGGACCAGAGCCAGGAUACCAGUCUACAAGAAAGAAAAAGAGAGUAAGUUUCAAGCAUUAUCAGCCAGAGGUUCAAAUCAUGAUUAAAAUGCAAUUGGGACAGAGCAGGUGAUUAAUAAGCAUCAAAGCAAUAAGUAAUCAGUGGAAAUAUUGGUGAAUAAGUAGUUCACAUAUGGGAAGUUCUUCAUUCUGUUUCAUUCCAGAAGUCCUGCAUCUUAGAUCCAGAGGCAUCUACUUCAAUCCCUGUAUUUUACAGGUCAGUAAACUGAGACCAAAGAGGGGAACUGUCUCAUCCAUGGUCACACACAUGGUGGAAGAACCAGUGACGGGAAUUUCUCUCAUUCUCACCAAUCUGGAAGAACUAGUUACUAAGAUGGAGAUGAUGUUUUAUUUAUGACUGACUGCACUGACACUGAAUUUGAAAGCCAUCUUUUCAAAGAUGUGGUAAACUGAGGUUCAGAAAAGUUCAAUGAUUUCUCCAGAUUUUAUGUAUAGCAAGAAAGUUAACAUUUCAACACUAGUUCUAUGCUUCCACAAGCAAAGUCCUUUCCAUUACAUAAUGGUGCUUUCUGAAAAAUGAAAGAUUAAAUUUUAUUUAAAAUUGUUUCUGUGCUAAGAACUUUAUUGUGUUCUUAUCUUUUGAAAUUUGCUAAUCCCUAUAGAGCACAAAUGAUAAUUCUCAGCAAGCCAAAAUAUUCUAUUAAAAAGAAUAACCCUUUUCCCACCACUUGGGUAUAAAUAGGAUUUUGUUGCAUGGCAUGGACCUUUUACAUUUGAACCAAGAAUCUUGGCUUGAGUUGAAUGAAGUUCUUAGGAGUUUCAGCGCAAAGGGAUCUCCCUGGAGUGAGACAUACUCUAAGCCAGCCUCAUCUGCCUAACAGGUUGGUGUUCAAUGGAAGGAAUUGGUA